UGUCUCAUUGGUGCAGGAAGAGGCUUCCACACUUCCUACUUGUCCUUCGUACGAAGGCUCACUGAAGAUAAACUGUGCCCACUCACCAACUUGCUUAGAACAGAGCCUUGUUUUCUCCUCGAUGUUGAACGUCUUCACAUCGUCACCCAGCUUGGAAAUGGAAAUCAGUUUGCAGGUGCUGAGAGGAGCAUCAGAGGACCCCAAUUGAGCAUCUGACCAUUCCCAGGCCAGUAAGGUCUGUGCCUUUUCUUUCCUUCCAAUCUCUGCACCCAGAUGUCUGGUUCUUGAUGCCAAGUUCCACUGGAUGGCUGUGGCAGCUGAAAGGGUCUUUCUCACUAAUGGGCAUAUGGCAGCUGUUGGCAUCUUCAGAAGAGCUAUGGAGAAGCACAGUAAACACCAGUGACACUUUAAAUCCUUAUCAAGUGUACACUUUAAAUCCUUAUCUGACUGAACUGAGAUACAGUGGUGGCUAAUGCAAAUAAGGGGAAUGGUGCUAGAGUGGGGGGAACCAAAGACUUAUUUAAAUGAUUCUCAAAUCUUCAUCCCAGGUUUACCAUUCAGAACAUCCCCUGCCUCUUGCCAAGGAUUGACAGCUCCUCCUCAUGGAACCAUGGAACACACCCUCCUGGAAUUGUUGAGAUGCACGUGAUGGCAUGGCAAGAUUUAGAUAAAGGUGCCAUGUCCAGGGAGUCUCAUGAUGGGAUGAUGAACUAUAUCCUUUUUCAAGAAGUAAAAGUGUAAAAAUAUUCAUAUAUCAAAAGAGAGCCAGAGAAUCAGGCUACUUGAGGAAACUUAACAGCUGUAAAUCAUCCCAGCAGAAGAUAAAUUCAUUCUAUCAUCUGGAGAGAAACCUAAUCUUCAGUCUAUGUCAUUCCAUGGAGAUAGGAGGGUAUGGCUCAUAGUCUUCCAUCUUUAAAAUCCAUUAAGUUGCAUUUAAAAUUAUAGAAUUCACAUAUAUUCUGUGUAGCUAGUAAAAUAACAUGAAGAAGGAGGAACAUUAAGCAUCUUUCUCAUCAUCUCUGCGCCUCUAAAGUAAGCAAUGAUAAUGAUCUAUUAUGUACCUUUUCACAUUUUUCCCAAGUGAAUACAAAUAUAGAUAUAUUAUUUUGAGUUUUUAAAAUUGGGAUCACACUGUAUACAGUUUUAUGCAACUUGUAUUUUUUUAACACAACAAUUUGCUAUGAAUAUCCCUAAGUCAUUCUUUUUAAUAGCUUUCAGCAAUCCAUGGUAUAGAUGUACAAAAAUUUAUUUAAUCUCCAUUGGGUGAAUAUUCAGGGAGUUUCUAAGUUUUCACCUUUGGAACUAAUGCUGCAAUAAAUAUUUUUUAAAAUACAGCAUGAUGAACUAGUACUGUUUUUCCUCCAUAGGACCUAUUCCUAGGGGUGGGAUUGCUGGGUCAAAGUUUAUGUGUACUUGAAUUUUUAGUAGCUAUGGCCAGCUUGCUUUCCAAAAAGGUGUAGCAAUUUCCAUUUCAAUAGCAAUGUGUGAGGAUGCUUGCUAGCUCCAAAUGCUAUAGGUUUUUAUUAAAAAAAUGUUUAAAAAUUUUUUGUCAAUCUAACAGGCAGGAAAAAUGGCAUCUCCUUAUUUUCCAUUUUCCUACCUACCAGUGAAAGAUGAGCAUUUUUCAUGUUUAUUGGCCAUUUGGAAUUCCUCCUGUGUGAAUUGCAUUCUAUUGUGUUCAGUUGGAUAUUAUUCAUUAUGUGUUACAGAUAUUUUUUUCCCAGCUAUCAUUUGAUUUUGACUUUGUUAGCCUUUGUCUUUUGUCAAAACCUAUUUUUAAAAUUAUGUACUAGGUUUAUCUUUUGUAAAUAUUUUAAAAUUACUCAAGUAAUAAUAUUUUUUAUGUAAAGUCAUUAAACAUAAUAAACUGAAAUAAGAGAAUAAAAAUCACCCAUUAGCAUACCACCCACAGAUAACUAUUUAUAUUUUGGGGGAUAUACCGCCUGUCUUCUUCACACAUUUCACUCCUCUCCACUGUUGAAUAAUAAUUUUAAAAACGACAAAAAAUAUCACCACUGAAGUAGAUAACUGUGAAUGAGUAUACUGAUCAGACGAGAAUGGAAAAUGUAAAUGUGAGAUCCUUUUCAUAGCUAUAUAAGACAUUUAUUUUUUUUAAAGUUAUUUUUAUUGAUUUCAGAAAGAA